CUCACUGUCUUCUAAAUAAUCUACAGUGGGACCUUAUAUUAGUGCUGUAUGCACGGAAAAACAAUGGCGGACAGAACAGUUGCACUCCAGCAGGCUGGCUCCGCCCCCUCUCAUCAUAGCCCCGCCCCCUCUCCGCCUGAACGUUGCUGGGGAAGGUACAGAGGAAACUAGGAAGCACUAAACCAUCUGCCAAGGCGUCUUACCGAAGAAAUAAAGGAUAACGUGAUAAAUUGUGUAGCAAUCUGAGUACCCAACAUAAUUUUGAUCAACCCCCAUUAAAAAUCGGUUAAGUUUUCUAUUAAUAGAAGCUGUCCUUCAAGUCCUCAGAGAGGUAGCUCCUCAGAGCAGGAGUUGUUAAAAAACAUCCCAGUUUGGACUCCCGAUGUCUUACUCCCCACUGACAGGACCAUGAACUCUGACCCUGGUCUAGCUGUUGUUUCAUCUGUAGGCUACAAAGCAUUCAGUGGUGUCGACUUUGAUGGAACAUUCCAUGUGAACACGCUGACCGAUGACGACUACGCUGGCUUCAUCUUCGGCUACCAGGACUCCUCCUCCUUCUACGUGGUGAUGUGGAAACAGACCGAGCAGACCUACUGGAAGGCUUCGCCCUUCAGAGCUGUUGCUGAGCCGGGAAUACAACUAAAGUUGUGGGGGUGUGUUCAGUGUCUGUGCCUGUUGUCAGGGUCAGUGUCUCCCUGUAUAAUGGAAUGCAAUUCUGCAUCAUCAGGCGGUCAAGUCUAACACAGGUCCUGGCGAGUAUCUGAGGAAUUCGCUAUGGCACACGGGAGAUACCCCUGAGCAGGUUCGUCUGCUGUGGAAAGACCCCAGAAAUGUAGGCUGGAAAGGUCUCCUACCGAUGGUUCCUCCAGCACAGACCUCAGAUCGGAUACAUCAGGGUUCAAACCUGGUGGCAGACACGGGAGUGAUAAUUGACACCAGCAUGAGAGGAGGGAGACUGGGAGUGUUCUGCUUCAUCUGGUCCAGUGUCUGCAGGCACUAUUCCUGCUGACUAUAAGGACCGCAAUGGUCAGAACAGAGAAUAUCUAUGAGACUUUAAUAUUUUAACUUUAUCCAUUAUGAGCACAAAUAUGAUAGCACAAAUCAGGGCAUUAUAAUAUACAGUGUAAUGUGCUUAGCUUUAAUAUUUCAGCUGAUAUUGUGUAUAUUUAUGGAAUAAUCACCUUCAGAUUUCCCUACACUUUAUGAAUGCUGUUUAAAACAAUAAAAU